GACGGAGGGGGCUAGCGUUGUUCGGAAUUACUGGGCGUAAAGCGUGCGUAGGCGGCUAUGUAAGACAGAUGUGAAAUCCCUGGGCUUAACCUAGGAACUGCAUUUGUGACUGCAUUGCUAGAGUGUGGUAGAGGGAGAUGGAAUUCCGCAUGUAGCAGUGAAAUGCGUAGAUAUGCGGAGGAACACCAAUGGCGAAGGCAAUCUCCUGGACCUGCACUGACGCUCAUGCACGAAAGCGUGGGGAGCAAACAGG
rnacentral:rRNA from 1 species